GCUGGGUAUCUGCAAAGAUCACCUGUUAUCGAAAGAAGCCAUAAAAACAUGAAUGGGGAGGUUUCAGUAAAGAGAUUGGAUCAAUAGAUGGUAACUGAUUGCCUGACGCAAGUGGUUGACAAACAUGUGGCUGAUUUCGUAAGAGACUGGUUCCAGGUUUCUAAAUACCGGAUGUGGCUCAAGGCUGGCAACAGAACAGGCAAAAAUUCGGAGCCGACUGUAGUGCGCAGAUAACAAUCAAAUAUCUACCAAUCGAAGUGCAGGAACUAAACCUCAGACUCGUUUUUUU
rnacentral:SRP_RNA from 1 species